UAAGUGAAUUAAUUUGUGUUUUGACUGAUUAUUGAAUGUAUUCUAUUUGCAGGUUCAAUUGGUUUAUUUGGAGGUUUUCGUUGUGUUUGGUAAGCGAGUCUAUUUCUGUUUUGGCUGAUUUUGAUUGUAUUCCAUUUGCAGGUUUUGAUUGGUUUGUUUGGAAGCUAGCGUGGUUCAAUUGGUUUAUUUGGAGGUGUGCGUUGAAUUUGGUGAACGAGUUUAUUUCUGUUUUGGCUAAUUUUGAUUGUAUUUUAUUUGCAGGUUUUGAUUGGUUUGCUUGGAGGUGAUUUGGCUUAUAUUUUCUGGAUUUGGUGAUAAUGUGUCCAUUUUUGCUGUGCCAUUGGACCAAGUCUUAACCAUUCGGC